rnacentral:rRNA from 1 species
AUCGAACGCUGGCGGAAUGCUUUACACAUGCAAGUCGAACGGCAGCACGGGGGCAACCCUGGUGGCGAGUGGCGAACGGGUGAGUAAUACAUCGGAACGUGCCCAGUCGUGGGGGACAACGUAGCGAAAGUUACGCUAAUACCGCAUACGAUCUACGGAUGAAAGCGGGGGACCGUAAGGCCUCGCGCGAUUGGAGCGGCCGAUGUCAGAUUAGGUAGUUGGUGAGGUAAGGGCUCACCAAGCCGACGAUCUGUAGCUGGUCUGAGAGGACGACCAGCCACACUGGGACUGAGACACGGCCCAGACUCCUACGGGAGGCAGCAGUGGGGAAUUUUGGACAAUGGGCGCAAGCCUGAUCCGGCCAUUCCGCGUGCAGGACGAAGGCCUUCGGGUUGUAAACUGCUUUUGUACGGAACGAAAAGGCUCUGGUUAAUACCUGGGGCUCAUGACGGUACCGUAAGAAUAAGCACCGGCUAACUACGUGCCAGCCGCCGCGGUAA